GCAAAGGAUUUUUUAAAAUCCAUAGUGUUUUUAAUGAUAUGUAUUUU
rfam:Oryctolagus cuniculus chromosome 14, whole genome shotgun sequence.